rnacentral:rRNA from 1 species
CCUACGGGAGGCAGCAGUGAGGAAUAUUGGUCCAUGGGCGAGAGCCUGAACCAGCCAAGUCGCGUGAAGGAUGACGGCCCUACGGGUUGUAAACUUCUUUUGUCAGGGAGCAAUUGGGUCCACGCGUGGGCUUAGCGAGAGUACCUGAAGAAAAAGCAUCGGCUAACUCCGUGCCAGCAGCCGCGGUAAUACGGAGGAUGCGAGCGUGAUCCGGAUUUAUUGGGGGUAAAGGGUGCGUAGGCGGAAUAUCAAGUCAGUGGUAAGAAUUCGGGGCUCAAACCCGUCGUGCCGUUGAACAUGAUGUUCUUGAGUGGGCGAGAGGUAUGCGGAAUGCGUGGUGUAGCGGUGAAAUGAAUAGAUAUCACGCAGAACUCCGAUUGCGAAGGCAGCAUAUCGGCGCCCAACUGACGCUGAAGCACGAAAGCGUGGGUAUCGAACAGGAUUAGACACCCUUGUAGUC